rnacentral:rRNA from 1 species
GAUGAACGCUGGCGGCGUGCCUAAUACAUGCAAGUCGAGCGAACAGACGAGGAGCUUGCUCCUCUGACGUUAGCGGCGGACGGGUGAGUAACACGUGGCUAACCUACCUAUAAGACUGGGAUAACUUCGGGAAACCGGAGCUAAUACCGGAUAAUAUAUUGAACCGCAUGGUUCAAUAGUGAAAGACGGUUUUGCUGUCACUUAUAGAUGGAUCCGCGCCGCAUUAGCUAGUUGGUAAGGUAACGGCUUACCAAGGCAACGAUGCGUAGCCGACCUGUGAGGGUGAGCGGCCACGCUGGAACUGAGACACGGUCCAGACUCCUACGGGAGGCAGCAGUAGGGAAUCUUCCGCAAUGGGCGAAAGCCUGACGGGGCAGCGCCGCGUGAGUGAUGAAGGUCUUCGGAUCGUAAGACUCUGUUAUUAGGGAAGAACAAAUGUGUAAGUAACUAUGCACGUCUUGACGGUACCUAAUCAGAAAGCCACGGCUAACUACGUG